rnacentral:rRNA from 1 species
GAUGAACGCUGGCGGAAUGCUUUACACAUGCAAGUCGAACGGCAGCACGGACUUCGGUCUGGUGGCGAGUGGCGAACGGGUGAGUAAUACAUCGGAACGUGCCCAAUCGUGGGGGAUAACGUAGCGAAAGCUACGCUAAUACCGCAUACGAUCUAAGGAUGAAAGCGGGGGAUCGCAAGACCUCGCGCGAUUGGAGCGGCCGAUGGCAGAUUAGGUAGUUGGUAGGGUAAAGGCCUACCAAGCCGACGAUCUGUAGCUGGUCUGAGAGGAUGAUCAGCCACACAGGGACUGAGACACGGCCCAGACUCCUACGGGAGGCAGCAGUGGGGAAUUUUGGACAAUGGACGCAAGUCUGAUCCAGCCAUUCCGCGUGCAGGAUGAAGGCCCUCGGGUUGUAAACUGCUUUUGUACAGAACGAAAAGGUUUCUACUAAUACUAGGAGCUCAUGACGGUGCUGUAAGAAUAAGCACCGGCUAACUACGUGCCAGCAGCCGCAGUAA